UACGAAGGGGGCUAGCGUUGUUCGGAAUUACUGGGCGUAAAGCGCGCGCAGGCGGUCUUCCAAGUCAGUGGUGAAAGCCUGGAGCUCAACUCCAGAACUGCCAUUGAAACUGUUAGACUUGAGUACGAGAGAGGUGAGUGGAAUUCCCAGUGUAGAGGUGAAAUUCGUAGAUAUUGGGAAGAACACCAGUGGCGAAGGCAGCUCACUGGCUCGUAACUGACGCUCAGGCGCGACAGCGUGGGGAUCAAACAGG
rnacentral:rRNA from 1 species